UACACACCGCCCGUCACACCAUGGGAGCUGACUCAACCAGAAGACGAUCUUGUUAACCGCAAGGGGACAAUCGGCGAAGGUGGGGUUGGUGACUGGGGUG
rnacentral:rRNA from 1 species